rnacentral:lncRNA from 1 species
AUUAUGUUUAUACAUUUUAAUACCAUGUCAAAUGAAAGCUAUAGAAUUUCUGAGAUAGAUACACUCUUACAGAAACUUAAAUCAAUAUUUUUUUAUGAUGAUCAAAACACAGACCUGUUCUGACGAUAUGAGGAUAGUUUUUAUAUUAUGCUGAAUAUUUUUACUUACUUUAUAACUUUGAAAUACUUUAACAAAAUGUGUUAAUUCUAAUUGAAAUUUUCUCCAUAGGUUCUGCGGUCUUUGAAUGUGGACUCGUUAUAGAUGAAACAAUGCUUACCGUGGCGAAAUAACGUAAAGGUUUGCCACGCAAGUUUUUAAAGGAUACGGGAUAUGAGACUGCUUUCCUUCAAAGUUUGGUGUUCAUUGCUGCACGCAUAGUGAAUGUGACUUGUGUCAAUAAAAAAGGUAUAAAACCACCUUUCAGCUCGCAGAAUAUCUGAAGAAAGUUUUGUGUUUUGAUUGAAAUAAUAUUUGUGAAAAUUUAAUAAAUCUUUGA